AGUGCUGGCACCACCUUCUGCAGGGCGCCUCUGAGCUCGAGGGAGGGCGGACAGAGGAUCCGGGAGCUGCCACCUGCAGGAGCGCUGCAGAAGUAGCAGGGGGCCCUCAGCACUGGCGCUGGGCAGUAGCCCUAGAGAGGCUUCUUGUUGACUGCCUGGCCUGCUGGGGCCCUCAGGAGGACGAAGGAACAAAGCUAAUGUGGCAGGGGCUGUGUGGUGAGACUCCUCCAGGUUCCUCCGCCGCCUGUGAAGGAAGGGGAGUUCACCCUGCACGGCCGGGCCAUCCUGGAGAUGGAGCAAUACAUCCGGGAGACGUACCCCGACGCGGUGAAGAUCUGCAAUAUCUGUCACAGCCUCCUCAUCCAGGGUCAAAGCUGCGAAACCUGUGGGAUCAGGAUGCACUUACCCUGCGUGGCCAAGUACUUCCAGUCGAAUGCUGAACCGCGCUGCCCCCACUGCAACGACUACUGGCCCCACGAGAUCCCAAAAGUCUUCGACCCUGAGAAGGAGAGGGAGUCUGGUGUCUUGAAAUCGAACAAAAAGUCCCUGCGGUCCAGGCAGCAUUAGCCAUCGUGCCCUG
rnacentral:sRNA from 1 species